rfam:Solanum tuberosum cultivar DM 1-3 516 R44 scf00308_33, whole genome shotgun sequence.
GAGAGCUUUUUGCGGGGAAACUUGCAAGUACAGUUUGGGGGAAGGGGGAACUUCUGUUAAUUUCGUGACUUGACUGACUUCAGAC